AACCUGCCCACCACUUGGGGGAUAACCUUGCGAAAGUAAGACUAAUACCCCAAUGACGUCUCUAGAAGGCAUCUGAAAGGGAUUAAAGAUUUAUCCGGUGAUGGAUGGGGAUGCGUCUGAUUAGCUUGUUGCGGGGUAACGGCCCACCAAGGCGACGAUCAGUAGGGGUUCUGAGAGGAAGGUCCCCCACAUUGGAACUGAGACACGGUCCCAAACUCCUACGGGAGGCAGCAGUGAGGAAUAUUGGUCAAUGGGCGAGAGCCUGAACCAGCCAAGUAGCGUGCAGGAUGACGGCCCUAUGGGUUGUAAACCUGCUUUUAUAAGGGAAUAAAGUGAGUCUCGUGAGACUUUUUGCAUGUACCUUAUGAAUAAGGACCGGCUAAUUCCGUG
rnacentral:rRNA from 1 species